GCGCGUUGAGGGCGUUCGGUGAAGGCCGGAAGUAGCCGAGGAGGGUGGAGCCUACAACCUGCGCAGGAGCGGCGUGGUACCUUAGAGCUGAGCGAGCGAGCCCGACUUUCAGUUGCCCAAGAUCAACUGUGGUUCAGAAGCCGAUGCUCAUCCUUCUGACAUGUCACCUAACAGUACAUCAGAACAUCUCCAUCGUUUACCUCCCUUUAUCUCAUCACAUAGACAUUUUAUCAUUUCAUACCACCAUAAGAAGGAUAACUGCUGUCACAAAUUUUGUGUUUAUCAUGGAAAUUGUGAAUGCAGCAGCAUUGGGCCUUUGCUUAGCAGUGAAUUACUCAUGUGAUGGACAGAGUCAUGGCAGAAGAAGCGGGGAGAGAGGAAUAAUUGUGAAUAAAGGACCAUCAGCUUCUCUGGUUUCUCUUUAUUUCAUACACAUGCAGAAGCACACAGACACACACAGAUGUACAUGCUACCUUUUCUUCCUCCUCCUCCUCUUCCUCACCAGUGUAUCAGUCCAUCCUUCAUACUGAAGCCAAAUCUUGUGAUCCAGGCCCACAUCCAGCAGCCCAGCCUCCCAGCUUUGCUAUUUUUUCUAUGAACAUUCCCUACCUGUGUGAAUUUGCUCACAGUUGUCUUUUUGCCCCAUGACUUCCCUGAUCUCUGCUAGGUGAAACUGAACCGAUCUUUCAAGAUCCAAAUCCAAAGCAGCCUCCUUCGUGAAGCUUUACAUGAUCACCCUGUUGCAAAGUGAAUUUUCCCUCGUUGUACUGGGUAGAAUCACAGAAAAUGCUUAUUGCAUUGACUCCAAAGGCAGCAAGUAGAACAGAAGAACCAAUAGUCACAUUACAGAUGCCGGAUAAAUAUUGAACGAUGGUCCCAGACUGUGAGCUUUGUCUGUGGAGUCAAGAGCUUGGAGAUGCCACGUGGCCUGGGUUUGAAUAUCAGCUCUACUAUGUACCAGUUGUUUUAUAUUAAACAAAAUUAUUUAACCUUGAAGCCUCAAUUUCUUUAUUUGUAAAAUGGAAGUAAGAAUAGCACCUACCUGGGGUCAUCGUCGGGAGUAAAUGAAUUACUCUGCAUCAAGGGCUUGGCAUCUAGGGAACCUCGUGUAAAUGUUGGCCAUCAUUAUUUUCGGAAGCAACUUUAAUCCUUCCAACUCAUUCAAAUCAGAUGGGACUAACUACGUUAAUUCAAAGGGUGUGUUGGUUUGAAGGGGCUGUUACCGUUAGGAGACGCAGGAACGUAAGAUCACAUGGACAUCCAUCCCACCCAGGCAUGUCAGAAA
rnacentral:lncRNA from 1 species